rnacentral:rRNA from 1 species
UUACUUUGAAUAAAUUAGAGUGAUUAAAACAGGUAAUAAUUAUUGCCUGAAUAUAUUAGCAUGGUAUAAAGAUUUAAGAAUAUUAAUGGUAUUUUACAAUUUGUAAAAAUAUAAACCAUUAUAUUCUAAUUAAAAUAGGAACUGACGGGGCUUUUCAUAUUCAAAGGGUAGGGGUGAAAUCCAAUGAUCCUUUGAAGAUGACCAAUAGCGAAAGCAAUUAGCCAGGAAGUUUCUAUUAAUCAAGAACGAAAGUUAGGGGAUCGAAGAUGAUUAGAUACCGUCGUAGUCCUAACCUUAAAUUAUGUGGACUUUGUUUUCAAAGAUAUAAAUUUAAAAAUCAUCUUUGAGAGUAAUAAAAGAAAUUUUAAGUAUUUACAUUCUUGGGAGAGUAUAGUCGCAAGACUGAAAUUUAAAGGAAUUGAUGGCAGGGCACCACCAGGAGUGGAGUAUGCGGUUUAAUUUGACUCAACACAGGGAAACUUACUAGAACCAGACUAAAAAAAGAUAGACAAGAAUAAAGACUUUUCUUGAUUUUUAGAAUGGUGGUGCAUGGCCGUUUUUAGUUCGUGGAGUGAUUUGUCUGGUUAAUUCCGAUAACGAACGAGACCUAAACUCUUAAAUAGUUUAAUUUGUUUUAAAAUAAACAAAUUAUGAUUAUAAUUUAAAAAGACCUAACUCUUUUUUAUUAUUUAAUAAUUUAAAUUUAUUAAAACAAAAAUAAAAAGACUUCUUAGGAGGAUUAUUCAUAAUUAAAUUCAAAUGAAUUUAAAAGUUAGGCAAAAACAGGUCUGUGAUGCCCUUAGAUGCUCUAGGCCACACGCGUAUUACAAUGAUAUAAUCAAGGAGUCUAAUAUCAUUUUAAAUUUAAAAAAAUAAAAUCACUCUAAAAGACAAAGAUAAUCUAUAUAAACUAUAUCAUAAUAGGGAUAGAAUAUUGAAAUUAUUAUUCUUAAACGAGGAAUUCCUAGUAACUAUAAGUUAAAAACUUAUAAUGAUUAUGUCCCUGCCCUGUAUACACACCGCCCGUCGCUCUUACCGAUGA